ensembl:lncRNA
AACAAUUUACUAAACAUCACAGGAACUCCUGGGGGAAAUUCCUUCUGUGUGCUCAAUCAGUUGUGCAGCUUCAGUUAAAGCUUGAAUCUGCACAGAAUCUGCCUCUGCAUGUGAAUGCCUACAUCAACCAAGGGGAAGUGAAUUGGUCUCCUUGUUCCUGUGGCAGCCAUGGACCCCUAUGAUUGGGUGGUCCUCUAGAGGCACUGACACUGAGCCUGAAGGGAAGCUCCCAUCUCUGAUCCAUGAGUGCCUCCAGCCUGGCAGGACCUGGCUCUUCUGCAAAGACCAGAGCAGACACUAUUAAGGGACAAACUCUGAUUCUCCAGAGCAAGAAAGGGCUCUUGAAGGAAGAGAGCUGAGUGAAAGGUACCACCAAUGCCCUGCACAGUGCUGGCUGUGUGCUCCCACACAUACCACAGCAUCCAGUGCCGUGUAUCUCUGGUAUGCUUCCUCCAAUCCAAGAGACACCCUGAGAGCAGAAAAGUUAAGCUUAAAAGAUGAGCUGUUUCCAUGGACAGGAACAUGUUUUAUGCGGGAAAGAAAGAAGGAAAGAAAGAAAGAGAGACAGAAGAAAAGAAAGAAAGAAAUCCGUGGGAGGUGUCUAUUUCACAAUGUCCUGUAAAAAUAAAUACAAUCAAGGAUUCCCCCCAGCAGUGUUGCUCGCCAUUUCUUGCAGCCAGCAGCUUACAUCCACUUGAUGCUAAAGCAAUUCUGAAAGACUUAUCUGAGAAUGAAUUAACUGAGCGGGGGACUGUCCUGUGGGAUGGAUAAGCAGAGGAUGGAGAGGCACUUGAGAUUCCUGACUUGUUUUUAUCCUCUUAAUGCUUGAUACAACUAUAUGGUUUCCCGGAUGACUUCUUCAAAGGCCAGCUGGUUCAGAUGCAUUCGGCCCACUCCUAACUUCCCCAGAUUCCCUCUUUAGAGUGUAAGUAGCAGUAAUUGAUUUGCAUGUAAAGCUUGCAUAACAGCACAGCCAAUCUCUCCUGCCAUGGCAGCCUGCUUUUCUGGCAUCCAGGAGCGACGCCGUGCCGCACUGUGCAGCUGGCAACAGAGAGGAAUUAACUUCCCUGUGUUACAGCCUCAUCUCACAUCUCCACCAAACAGCUCUUUAGUGGUGCUGUCCAUGCACACGUGCUGCACACCUGGUGACAGCAGGAACCCCAGGGACAUCCCUGCAGGAGCAGAGCAGGCACUGUGCUUACAGCAACAGCACUCAGCUCUGAGGAUUCUGUAGGAAAUCACGGCAGGCUGUUUCCCACCUCUUGUGUUGUUAUCUCCAGAAUAAGUGCACUCCAAGACUCAGGGUGAGAUUUUGGUUGGGAAAGGUUUCCUAUUAUCUAC